rnacentral:tRNA from 1 species
AGUUAAUGAGCUUGAAUAAGCAUAUGUUUUGAAACAUAAGAUAGAAAAUAAUUUUCUAUUACUU